rnacentral:rRNA from 1 species
AGUGAACGCUGGCGGUAGGCCUAACACAUGCAAGUCGAACGGCAGCACAGUAAGAGCUUGCUCUUACGGGUGGCGAGUGGCGGACGGGUGAGGAAUACAUCGGAAUCUACUUUUUCGUGGGGGAUAACGUAGGGAAACUUACGCUAAUACCGCAUACGACCUACGGGUGAAAGCAGGGGAUCUUCGGACCUUGCGCGAUUGAAUGAGCCGAUGUCGGAGUAGCUAGUUGGCGGGGUAAAGGCCCACCAAGGCGACGAUCCGUAGCUGGUCUGAGAGGAUGAUCAGCGACACUGGAGCUGGGACACGGUCCAGACUCCUACGGGAGGCAGCAGUGGGGAAUAUUGGACAAUGGGCGCAAGCCUGAUCCAGCCAUACCGCGUGGGUGAAGAAGGCCUUCGGGUUGUAAAGCCCUUUUGUUGGGAAAGAAAAGCAGCAGGUUAAUACCCCGCUGUUCUGACGGUACCCAAAGAAUAAGCACCGGCUAACUUCGUG